rnacentral:rRNA from 1 species
UACGUAGGUGGCAAGCGUUGUCCGGAAUCACUGGGCGUAAAGCGCGCGCAGGCGGCGAUCUACGUCUGGGGUGAAAGCCCAGAGCUCAACUCCGGGACUGCCUUGGAUACGGGAUCGCUUGAGGAUUGGAGAGGCAAGGGGAAUUCCACGUGUAGCGGUGAAAUGCGUAAAGAUGUGGAGGAACACCUGUGGCGAAGGCGCCUUGCUGGCCAAUUACUGACGCUGAGGCGCGAAAGCGUGGGGAGCAAACAGG